CACGGGUGAGUAACACGUAUCCAACCUGCCGUCUACUCUUGACAGCCUUCUGAAAGGAAGAUUAAUACAAGAUGGCAUCAUGAGUCCGCAUGUUCACAUGAUUAAAGGUAUUCCGGUAGACGAUGGGGAUGCGUUCCAUUAGAUAGUAGGCGGGGUAACGGCCCACCUAGUCUUCGAUGGAUAGGGGUUCUGAGAGGAAGGUCCCCCACAUUGGAACUGAGACACGGUCCAA
rnacentral:rRNA from 1 species